CAACGGCUGGCAGGGGAGAUACCAUGAUCACAAAGGUGGUUUUCCCAGGAUGAGGCUCAUCCAUUGCACUGCGGGUGUGCUGACCCCUGCGAUUUCCCCGAAUGCGGGAAACUCGACUGCAUAAUUUGUGGUAGUGGGGGACUGCGUUUGUGCUCAA
rnacentral:snRNA from 1 species